rnacentral:rRNA from 1 species
CACAAGUGUGGAGUAUGUGGUUAAUUCGAUGCAACGCGAAGAACCUUACCUGGUCUUGACAUCCCGGAGACCCUUAGGAAACUAGGGGGUGCUUCCAUCUGGAAGAAUCUGGAGACAGGUGCUGCAUGGCUGUCGUCAGCUCGUGUCGUGAGAUGUUGGGUUAAGUCCCGCAACGAGCGCAACCCUUGCCUUUAGUUGCCAGCAGUUCGGCUGGGCACUCUAAAGGGACUGCCGGUGUUAAACCGGAGGAAGGUGGGGAUGACGUCAAGUCCUCAUGGCCUUUAUGACCAGGGCUACACACGUACUACAAUGGCCGAUACAAAGGGCAGCGACACUGCGAGGUGAAGCCAAUCCCGUAAAAUCGGUCUCAGUCCGGAUUGGAGUCUGCAACUCGACUCCAUGAAGUUGGAAUCGCUAGUAAUCGUGGAUCAGCAUGCCACGGUGAAUACGUUCCCGGGCCUU